rnacentral:tRNA from 1 species
GCUAGAGUGGCGGAAUUGGCAGACGCACCAGACUCAAAAUCUGGCGGUCGCAAGAUCGUGUGGGUUCGAGUCCCACCUUUAGCACCA